CCCCGCGGCGGCGCUGCGCGCGCAGCCCCAGCCCAUCGCGAGCGGACCCUGCCGGCCCGGUGCGGCUGGGCCAGCGGGAGCGGGACCAGGACGGCGCUCGCGUUCUGCCAGAGCGGAGCACGACUCGGGGACGACAUUGCGUACUUCCGGAGAAGGUCCCUGAGAACCUGGCUGAUCUUCCCCGCUGCACCCCUCACGUGGUCCUGUUAGCUCCCAAACUGUCAACCUGAAAGGAAACCCAGAGGCAGGCUCUCCAGGACAAGUGAGUUAAUCUGGGCAUCGCAGGGGAUUGCAGCCUAGGGUGUUCGUGCCAUGACUGAUCAUAGGCCUAUCCGAGGGGGCCGGGAGAAGGGGAAAAUAUAGAUGAGCUCACAAAAGUCGUUUUGUAACAAAAACCACUGGCCGUGGGCGCUUGCUGCAGGAGUGGGCGUUAGCUCGUUGUUGGAGAGAGAGCCUUACCAGGCCCAAGUCCUCGUGCAAGCUGCUUAUCUGGAACACUGCAGUCCUGAGGAAUUUCCCUGCAGUAAGUCUGGUUACAGGCAAACGUGCAGGACGUGCGGGAGCGUGUUCUGAGGAGGCCUGCUGCAGGUAUCCCCGUGUGAGAGCUCCCCCUUUGUGGCCUCCACUCCAUUUGUUUAGGGAUUGGUAGAAGUAGUUCCAUUUUGGUACCUGCAACUGUCACAGCUGUGGUAAUGAAACCAGGCUUAUCUCUUCACGAUUGAGUACCUGCUGUUCACUGCUACUGUAUAAAACCAUGCCACAAUUCCUGUACAACCUUUUUUUUCUUUUAAUAGUUACCUAAUAUUUUCACAUACCUAGCUUUUUACUAACCCAUGGCCAGUUUUUUUUUUCAAGUGUCCCAACGUUUUUGCCACAUGCCUAAUAAUAACAUUUUCCAAAGGCUCAAACACAUCCGCUGUGUCUGAUCCUCCUGUUCGGACCUAGACCGAUCGCCUCCUGACCGUGCUGCACAGCUCUUAUCUCGAGCUUUUCUCUGCUCUCAUCCUUGAGACUCACUUUGCCUGUCUCCUUUCUUGGAUUCCCUAUGUAAACAAAAAAUAAAAUCCUGAGCCCUCUA